rnacentral:rRNA from 1 species
GACGAACGCUGGCGGCGUGCCUAAUACAUGCAAGUAGAACGCUGAAGGAGGAGCUUGCUUCUCCGGAUGAGUUGCGAACGGGUGAGUAACGCGUAGGUAACCUGCCUGGUAGCGGGGGAUAACUAUUGGAAACGAUAGCUAAUACCGCAUAAGAGUAGAUGUCGCAUGGCAUUUGCUUAAAAGGUGCAACUGCACCACUACCAGAUGGACCUGCGUUGUAUUAGCUAGUUGGUGAGGUAACGGCUCACCAAGGCAACGAUACAUAGCCGACCUGAGAGGGUGAUCGGCCACACUGGGACUGAGACACGGCCCAGACUCCUACGGGAGGCAGCAGUAGGGAAUCUUCGGCAAUGGACGGAAGUCUGACCGAGCAACGCCGCGUGAGUGAAGAAGGUUUUCGGAUCGUAAAGCUCUGUUGUAAGAGAAGAACGAGUGUGAGAGUGGAAAGUUCACACUGUGACGGUAUCUUACCAGAAAGGGACGGCUAACUACGUG